UGACCUCAGAUCAGACAAGGAUACCCGCUGAACUUAAGCUUCAUA
rnacentral:rRNA from 1 species